rnacentral:rRNA from 1 species
GGAGUUUGGACCGUGUCUCAGUUCCAAUGUGGGGGACCUUCCUCUCAGAACCCCUACUGAUCGUUGACUAGGUGGGCCGUUACCCCGCCUACUAUCUAAUCAGACGCAUCCCCAUCCCUUAGCGAUGAAUCUUUGGUUUGAUUUUGAUGUCAGCAUCAAACAACAUAGGGAAUUAAUCCGACUUUCGCCGGGCUGUGCCCUACUAAGGGGAAGGUUGGAUACGCGUUACUCACCCGUCCGCCACUCAGUCAAUCAAAUCUUCCUCCCGAAGGAUUCUGUCUUGAUUGCUUCGUUCAACUUGCAUGUGUUAGGCACGCCGCCAGCGUUCAUC